CCGGACACACUGUUCAAUCUCGUCUUAAACCCCACAGACAGGUGAAAUGCACACCUGGAUGAGUCACAGGACGGUCCUGGAGCCCCAGAAGGUCUUCAGGACCCUACGUCUGUGGGGUCUAGGACCACCCUAGGGAGGGACACUCCCAGCCCCUGCCCCCUGAGGGGAGUGGGGCGGAGUAGAGAGAGAGAGGCCUGGCUCCCACCCACCCCAGAGGAGGACACAUCGUGGAGUGGCUUUGGGCAGUGGGCCCCAAAGGGAGUGACCGGUGACAGACGUGACCACGGUCUUGCCCGGGAGAGACCAGGCGACCUGAGUCGUUGCAGGCAGCCUCCUGAAGGACACAGCACCUGCCGAGGGCCCUUUCCUUAUACCUCUCAGUGCUCUGAGGUCUCAGGGGCCUCAACUGGUCAGGGAAGCGGGCCAGAGGCCUGAAUGUCUGUGCUGGUGAGGACUGACCACCACCGCCGUGAGCAGUGUCUUUUAUUCUGCGACUUCCUCCUUCCUCAUUUCAUUCUCUUAAGUGAUGAUAGUGGUGACUUUUGCAGUUGCUUUAUUUUUAAUUUGGGGGUGGUGGGGAUCGGGCAAGGCUAAGUCAGUUUGAUCAGUCCUCAGACUUGGUGGGGAGGACCCUUAACUGGUCCCUGAAAUUCAGAACUAAAGUUCUGGUUUGCUAGAUUCUGGUUGAAGCUUGUUCUGCUUAAGGAGCCAGAUCUUGUGCAGCUGUGAAACAGAACCAAGUUAUAAAUCACACAACGUAAGUCUCCAAAAACCACAAACAGGCUAUUUCCAUGGACGCCCAGGCAUCCAUCAGAACACACAGCCUCACUUAGAGGAGAACAGGCCCUGGGAAGCUGGCCACCUCGGAUGAGGGCAGAGUCCUCUACUCUCUUCACAAACACCCCAAACAGUAAAUCUCACUGUGGCGUGAGACAAAGUGGGAUAAGCUCCGACCUCCUGUGUGACUACAAACCCUAGCCAGCUGGUGGGGGUGGUUGCCGUUGUGCCUGAUCCUGACCUCUGACCCUCACUGCCACCUGCUCCGAGCUCCAGGAGGUGAAUUCUCAGUGACUGUCUAUGGCAAGGGGUAUGGGUAAAGGGGAUGAUGGCCAUCAGCUUAUCACAGAAACCUCGGGUCAGAGGUGGCGAUGAGCCCAGCUGAACCAUGGGGCCCUGAGCUGGCCCAACCUCGCCAAACGCUUCACCAUCUUCUCCCAGUUUCUCAUCUGUGAAACAGGGACAAGGAGCUGUUUCAAGGAGGAGAGCCCUCCUGGCCACACCACCCAGGCCUGGCUGCCUCCACAGCUGUGGGGCUGUCGUACUGGACAGCCAGCAGCACCCAGGGCUCAGAGCAGGAGCCUAGGAGUGUUUGCAUGGGGGCAGAUGGACAAGACAACCUAGGGAUGAGCCCCAAGAUGCUGUCUUGACGGGCAAAGUUCCAGCUGAUGCCUCCAGAGGCGCCGAGGCUGAGCUAGAAUCUCGGUUCUCCAAGGACCCGGGCGGCCCGGAACCCAGGGUGCGGCAGGAAAAGCGGUUGGGAGUGACGCAUCGCAGGCCAGGGGAGCCGUCUGACCACAGCCGCUCAGAGGAUGUGAGACAUGAGGGCACUGCAAUAGCCCUGCGCCUGCAACAGGGGCACGAGCACGGCUGGCCCUGCCGGGGGCGUUGCCCCCACGAAGGUGGGAAGCAGCUGAAGGACCCGUCCCAGAGCCCUUGGGCUGCUGCUUCAUCCUGAAGACUUAGAAGGUGGCAGCGGUCGCCCCCCCUGGGUUUUGCCAGAAGUGAAAGCGUGUGGAACGGAACGCAGAGCCAGAGGAGGAAACUGCCACCAUGGGGGCGGGGCCCCAGUGGGCAGGUUCCCCUGAGUCUGAUCCCGAGGGUGGCAUCCGGGUGACACCCUUUUUCCUUGGGCUUCUCAGAAUUUAGCUCCACACGCCACCACCAGCCCUGGGCCAGCCCCUAUUUUCUCUGCCUUGUUCACCAACUGCACUCCAGUCAGCUGAUCCGUACCCUUGACCUUGAUCAAGCCCACAGAUGGUGGUACACUGGCCAAGCCUCUGCCAGGGGUUCCACAUCCCCCCCACCUGACAGCCGAGGUCUCUCUAAGAUCCGACCCCUCCCCUUGGAUGGCAGGCUGCUCCUUUUGCAGCUUCGACCUUGGAUGUCCAACUCCUUGACUGGACUGCUCUUCACCCCUACCCACCCCUAUCUCCAGUCACUUUCUCAGUGAGACCCGCCCCACUACUUAAAUCGUAACACCCCCCACACAUACCCUCCCUCCCCCCUUGAAUUAAUACACGGUGCAGCGUUCUCACUUAUCCACCUCACAAACACGCACAGCAAAGCCAGUCUGUAAGCUCCAUGGAGGCAUCAAUUUUUAAUGUUUUUACUUUGAAAAAUUUCAAACAUAAAUGCGAAAGUAGACAAAACAGUAUGAUGAACCCAACGCCCCAUUACUCAGUUUCAGCAAUGCUCAACCCUUGGCCUGUCUUAUUCCAUCUGUGCCCCACCUUCGCACAUACCACAUUUGCCUGUAAAUGCUGCCAAACUAGAUGCACUUUUAAAGAAUUUAACCACACUACCAUUAUCACCUAAAAAUUUAAUAGUCUUAAAACCAAAUAAACGGCCCAUGUCCAGAAUUCCCCAGUUGUCUCAUUUCAUACAGCUGUUGUUUUUAAACAUCAGAAUCCAGAGUCUAAAAAAGGCAAUGUGUUAAUAUGCCCCAAGCUUUAUGAAUAACACUCUCCUUCGUUUUAA